GAGCCGUGACUCUGCUCACUUCACGUUACGGCUAAUGUUAGCUUGUCAGCGCUCUGUCCUUGUAUGCUCUUUGGUGUAGCGUCACCCCAACAUGGCGAAUAUGUGAGGUGAAAGGUUUGUUUGCAGCAGCAUCAACAAAAUGAGGGUCCGGCAUUGCUUGAUAGGGCCCAGGCGAGCCUAUUUGCUUUGGCCAAUUCUGCUGCUGCUCCUGGUUGGUGCAGCCUUGACAGCUCUGCUGCCCUCUGCUGAGGACCAAGGAGGUGUCGGUGUCCUGGGGGUGUUACGCCGGGCAACAUCUCAAAAUGAGAUACCUGCACAGGGUCACUAUGGGGACAACACAGAGGAGGAGCAGAGAUUUACUAUCAUCAUCCAAACAUACAACCGCACAGACAUUCUUCUCAAACUUCUUAACCAUUACCAGGCAGUGCCUCAUCUUCAGCAGAUUAUCAUAGUCUGGAAUAACAUUGGGGAGCAGACGCCCUUGAAGUUAUGGAACUCCUUGGGGCCUCAUCCGGUCCCUGUGGUGUUCAAGGUGCAGACUAGCAAUCAAAUGCGCAACAGAUUACAACCAUUCCCUGAGAUCGAUACUGAUGCUGUGUUGAUGCUGGAUGACGACACUCUGGUCAGCGUUCCUGACAUCAGUUUUGCUUUCUCUGUCUGGAAGCAAUUUCAAGACCAGAUUGUUGGGUUUGUGCCCCGAAAACACGUCACUUCACCAGGGGGAGUGUAUAGUUAUGGUAGCUUUGAGCUGCAGGAUCCAGAAAGAGGAGCAGGUGACAGAUUCUCCAUGGUGUUAAUUGGUGCUGCCUUCUUCCACCGCCGCUACCUCCAGCUCUUCCAAGACCAACCUCAAGAGGUGCAUGCGCUGGUGGAUGCAACACAAAAUUGUGAUGACAUAGCCAUGAACUUCGCUGUAGCACUGUAUUUGAGGAAACACUCCAUGUCAAGCAGUAGCCCUGCUAGACCCUCUGGGGUCUUUGUCAAACCUGUAGACCUCCGCAACCUGGAAAAGGAUGCCAGCAGUGGGUACCAGGGUAUGUGGCAUCGUCCUGAACACCUUCUUCAGAGAUCCUACUGUCUGAACAGGCUGACACAGAUCUAUGGCUUCAUGCCACUCACCUUCUCAAACCUGAUGGUCUCCCAGUUUGGCUUCCCGAGCUAUGCUAACCACAAGAGUAGAGGCUGAAGAAUUGUCACAUUGCUGACUGUCUUGGAUUGAAUGAGGACAGACUAAAGUAGCAGUCUGCAGUUUCACUGUGGCAUCAGCAGGACUAUGAUGGACUUUCUUCCUUGGGACCAUCACAAGAUAUUCUACACGAGACCCAGCUGGGUCAAAAAAUAAUAUUUGGAGAUAAUCUCUAUUGUUGCCAAAGCUGAUUCUUCUUCAGUGUGUACAACUCUCAGUACAUUGUAGUACAAUUAUUAUUAAACCAGCAGGUGCCAGCUCUUGGAUCUGCCUUUACAAUUUGCCUUUUUAUGUAACUAUGAUUGAAAGUACUGCUGCAGUCUUAUUAAAGAAAGUUUUUUCGAGUUAAUUAUUUAGUCUGUAGACGGUCACUUCUCGUUUAGUCUUUUUCACUAGAAAGUUUGAUGUGAAUGUUACUAUGUACUAUGCAUGCAUGGACAAUCUUUUUAUUUUUUAAGUCUGUACAUAUAGCAACUCUUGAAGGGCUUUAUUAUGUGAUGCAUUUCAAUAAAUAAUUUUUUUCU